UACGGAGGAUCCGAGCGUUAUCCGGAUUUAUUGGGCGUAAAGAGCUCGUAGGCGGUCUGUCGCGUCUGCUGUGAAAACUCAGGGCUUAACCCUGAGCUUGCAGUGGGUACGGGCAGACUAGAGUGCGGUAGGGGAGACUGGAAUUCCUGGUGUAGCGGUGAAAUGCGCAGAUAUCAGGAGGAACACCGGUGGCGAAGGCGGGUCUCUGGGCCGAAACUGACGCUGAGGAGCGAAAGCGUGGGGAGCGAACAGG
rnacentral:rRNA from 1 species